rnacentral:pre_miRNA from 1 species
GGAAUAUAAUAACCCGUCUCUUAACUUUUAACUAAAAAAGUUAAGAGCCGGCUCUUAAAACUCUUAUUUAAGAACCGGUUCUUAGCUUUUUUUAGUUAAAAGUUAAGAGACGGGUUCUUAUAUUCC